UACGAAGGGGGCUAGCGUUGUUCGGAAUCACUGGGCGUAAAGGGCGCGUAGGCGGCCUGAUAAGUCGGGGGUGAAAGCCUGUGGCUCAACCACAGAAUUGCCUUCGAUACUGUCGGGCUUGAGACCGGAAGAGGUAAGUGGAACUGCGAGUGUAGAGGUGAAAUUCGUAGAUAUUCGCAAGAACACCAGUGGCGAAGGCGGCUUACUGGUCCGGUUCUGGACGCUGAGGCGCGAAAGCGUGGGGAGCAAACAGG
rnacentral:rRNA from 1 species